rnacentral:rRNA from 1 species
UAACACGUACUCCGCAAGUGGUGUUCACUUAUACUGGGCCUAAAGCGUUCGUAGCCGGUCCAGUAAGUCUCUGGUGAAAUCGGCCAGCCUAACUGGUCGAAGUGCUAGAGAUACUGCUGGACUCGAGACCGGAAGACGUCAAGGGAAUUUCCGGGGUAGCGGUGAAAUGUUGUGAUCCUGGAAAGACCCCCAGUAGCGAAGGCGCUUGACGAGGACGGGUCUGACGGUGAGGGACGAAAGCUAGGGGAGCGACCUGGAUUAGAUACCCAGUUAGUCCUAGCCGUAAACGAUGUGGACUAGGUGUCCUAGCACCUACAUGGUGCAGGGGUGCCACAGCGAAGGCGUUAAGUCUACCGCCUGGGAAGUACGCUCGCAAGGGUG